CCUCGAUCCUCUUCGUGCUCCCAUUCGUUCCUGGCAGGAACCCUAGCCGCCGCCCCAUCCCCGCGUACCUAGCUCCAGCCCUCUCGCCGACGGCGCCGUCCGCGUCCGCGCGCCUCUGCCCUCCCCUUCCUUCUCCGCACUGGCCGCCUCCAUCUUCUCUCUGUCACCGUCUGACCCAGAUGCGGCCGCGGUCCGCUGCCGCCUUAGGCGGAGGAGAGUAGAGACGCGGCUAGGAGGAGCACGAGCCACCGCCACCACCUACCUGACGACGACCAGAGACGGACGGCGUCGCCGGCGGCGUGAACCCACGCGAGCCCAACAGGGUGUGCGCGUGCCUCCGCGGGUUCGCGCCGCGGUCGCCGGAGGCGUGGGCUCCGCCUCCGCGGGUCAACCGCGUCAGGUGCGUCGGCUCCGCGCCGCUCGACUGCCGCAACGGCAAGCUGCAAGGUCCCCGUCACGACGGCCGCCGUGGUAGACUUCCGUGCCAUCCUCGCGGACUGCACGCCGAGGUGCCUGCGUGGCUGCUCGUGCACGGCGUACGCUAGCGCCAAGCCCAGCGGCGCGGCAUGGACCAGCACACUCGAGGAUCUCCGCGCUUUCCUCAACUUCAACCGGGACUUUAUGUGUGUCUUGCCGCUGCAGAUCUUGGAGGAUAGCUUGGUGCUCCCGCAAGCAAUUUGGGCUUCUAUCUUGAUCGUUACUCUGUUCCAUACACUAAGAAGCGUGAAGUGUGCCGGUUGCCACUCGCGUUGCUGCUCUCCCUGGAGGCGUCGUCAUCGACUGGAGGAGUGUCGAAUCAUCGUCCUUGAGUUCAUGCACUUCAGGAAGAAGACGGCCUGAGGUGAGACGUCACGCAUCCGUCAUGCGAAGCUAGAGCUUGACAUAUAGGUCAGUGUGUGUGUGCAGCAGCUCCAGAGGGACCAACGUCGAGGUAGCCACUGCUCCUGUCUAGGCUAGCCCGUCGUAGGAAUCAUUUGGAGAUGGGUUGUAGAUAUUAAGCUAUGAAGGAGAUGAUUUUGAGGCAAAGUAGUUGUGUCACUUACUGAUGCUCUUAUGGUACACAGUACACUAUUAAGCUGUUGGGCCCAGAAACAGGAAGAGUAAUCCUCUUCCAAGGUUAAUUUUGUGCCUACUUCUUUAUGUACAUAACUCAUGAUUUGACAAAUAGUUAAGUUCCCUAUAUUUAUUUAUUUCUUUCUCUUUCGCUUUCUCUUUCCUAUUUAUGGUUCUGGAACAAAACUGCUAUCCUUUUCUACAAAUUGGAACAGAAAAUAAUGUUGACAAAUGAUUAUAACGGCUUAUUUAUUUUCUUGGUGUUAGAUUACUAAUGUGGAGAACUAUAAUUUUUAUUGAUGGUCGCUUGAUGGCGCUCAUUAGAAUUCAUAUAUGAAUCAAUAUAUUCUUCCACUCUAAUUAGCAUGUUUGGUCUAUUUAAUUUCAAACAUAUCUAUUAUUCACCAAGGCGACUGCCUAAUUUCAUAUGUGUUCAUAUGCAGAAGGUAAAGAUCGUCUAUUAUCGGCGGUUAUUUUACUUAGUUGUAGAUACUACUGAAUAGUUUGCUUAAAAUUUUGAUAGUUUAAAAGAAGUAUUAUGGUGUAGUGCAGUAAUAAUUUUAUUUAAAAUUGCAGACCUUGCAUCAUAUUUUGCUUGUGUAUGUGGGCAGUGUGUUCAAGUUGAUCUGGAACAAUUUGAAGGGUUUCCUCGACACAAAAUCUUCAGCCAAGAGGCCCACUUGGAUCCAGCCUUUCCAAUCUGCAUGAAUCUUCCUAAUUCAGCAAGGCCUUCAAACCUCGAUGCUUCUAAAUUUGUGAGCUAAAUGCGUUGUGACCGGCAUACUCGCGCCAAGGCGCGUUUCCGAUCUAGUAGAAAACGCCCAGAGGAAGGGCAGCUAUUGUCUCAUGGGUUCCAAAGAAGAUGGACCUGUGCGCGUGCGAUUGAGAGGGACAACCAAUGGCAGAAAUCAGUACCAAGGCCCGGAAGCAAUCCCUUCAAAAGUCACACUCGGCACUGAAAGGCAAGAUUGACCCAAUUAAGCGUACCAGGAGGAAAUUUUUCAAGGCAAAUCAUGACUUUAUAGGUUAACAGUGUUCAGGCAAAUCACAUGAGACACAAACAACCACUCGAAGUGGUACAAUAGAGUCUCAACCAAUGCUCUCAUUUGGCAAACAUGUACGGCCAAUUUAAGUUGACUCAUGUGCAACAGAGUUUGCAUUACAUUUACAAACACUAGCUCACUGCUUAGAGAACCACAUUUUCAACUGAAAUUUAUUAUCUUCAAUUGC